rnacentral:lncRNA from 1 species
UUUUUUUUUUACAUAUAUUCUUUUCUAAAUUGUAUGCACUGAGAUAGCAGGAAUCAUCUUUUAUUCAUUUCAUAUAAAACCUAGCAUAGAUCUUGGGUCUAGUAGGUAUCUAAUAAAUUCUUAUUAAAUUGGAUUAUAACACCAGACUUCUGGAAAAUAAAAAGGCAAGUAUGUUUGCUUUGUUUUCUUUCUUUUUAAGAUGUUUUCUGUUUUAAGAAAACAGUAGAGAAUAAAUAAUGUAGCAUUGUAGACAGAACCCAAAUAGCUGCCCAAUAUUUAUAAAGAUCAACUUUAUUUUAAAGAAGAAAUAUGUUACUUAUUGGCAUGAUGCAUGGCCAUGAACUUUCAUGCAUAUACUUUCUCUAAUACUUUCUUAUGCACAUGCUUAUGCCUUAUGCUAUUACUGACUUUUUUUUUUAGAAAAAUGCAUUUUCUUGACUUACAGUUAUGCCUGAGGCUAAAUGUAGACUUGUUGUUUGCUAGUUUUAACCCUGAUGGAGUAGAUUUAGGUAUUGAGAUGAAAUGGUAAGUAACUGAAAGAAAUGAAAUUUAAGGAUUAGUGUUAAAUGUUGGCAAGAGGCAUUGUAAUGAUUUGUGGCAGUGGGGAAUUACUCUUUUCAAUAAUUUACGACAGUAAAGAAAGAUAGCAUCAUGGCUAAGUAAAAGGGAGGGAGAAAAGUGGGAGAACACAAAAGAAAUCUGAACCUCCUUGGGUAAAGCUGAUUCAACAAAAGGAGUUGCAAGUGUUUUUAGCAGCCUUUACAAAACACUGGGAUUUGAAAUUUUAGACAGAGGCAGAGUGGGAUAAGUUGAAAUGGCAUUGAGAGAGACAACAAAAAUUGUUAAAGAAUAAUGCACAAUACCCACUGACAGGCUUUUAACCUGGGAUCCGCAGAUCAUUUCAAGGAGUCUAUAUACAAAUUUUGCAACUGUGUGCAUUUUCAGGUGUUCAUGAAAGUUAAGAAGCUUUGAAUGUGGUAUAAUUUUCUACUUAUUUAAUCAAAUACAUGGUCUGCUAUUUACUUUUGAAUACUUCUUUUUAGACAGUGUGGUAUAGUUGUGUCUACUACCUAGUUUUAAUUGGCAUUCUAGUGUCGCAGUUCACAGAAUGUGGUCCCUCACACUUCAGGGGCUCUCCAGGACUCAUUUAGGUCAAAACUAUUUUCAUGAUAAUACUAAAAGGUCAUUUACCUUCUUGACUGUGUUGACACUUGCACUGAGGUACAAAAAUAGUGGUCAAUGAAACUGCUGGUGCCUCAGUAUGCAUCAAGGUAGAAGAACCUAAAGUAGUAGUGGUAAUUAGAUUCUUCAGGUUCCAGUUCCAUAUUAGGGGAAUGGGAGGGGGGAUAGAAAUUUCUAUUUAUUUUCUGUUUACUACAAGAACAACCUGUGGAGUCACUAUGCUAUCAUGUUAAGGGUUUGUCAAGAGAAAUUGUCAAGAAAAAUUAAGCACAAAACCACUAAAGUCAAAACCUUUGCUAUUUAGUGUCCAGUGGUAGAUGGGCAGGCCACACUAGCCACCAGUACUGACUCACACAGCAGGGCUCUCCUGAGUUAUUGCCAGUAGGAUACACAGCAGACUCUUUCUCUCCCCUCUCCACCCAUGCUCCUGUCAGCACAGCAGCUUCCCAGGGCCCAGGCUCAGGGUGAUGGGUCCUGGCAUCAUAACUCAAGAUCCCAUUUCCUGCUGGUUGGGUUAGAGGAAAAGUUUACCUGGAAAGAAAAUAGGUGUGCAUCCUUUCAUGCACACCUAUUUGUAUUGGGUACUCAAAUUCUCCUGGUCAGUGAAAAGGAAACAUCUCUUGAGGAAACCUAGGUCAGGAAGAAUUUGGGGGGGAUCUGGACAGGUGCACACCUCUGCUCUAGAUGAGUUCACCUGACCCAAGACAGCCCCUGUCUUCUGUGGCUGGGGUCAGGCCUUCAGGAGUGCUGGUAAUUGCAGGGGUGAGCCUACCUUUCCACAGGGGCCCUUACCCCGCUCCCUGCCCUAACCCUUUGUUGAGCCCCUAAUCCCUUUAUCAUUCCUGGAGACUUCAUGAUACACUCCUGCUUACCAACCUAGUUUGCAGUCCACAGCCCUGCUCUUAGCACUCUGAACUGCCUGUUCCAUGACAAAGACAAGGGGCAGAGAGUUCCGGGAAUUCCAGAUGGGACAAGACAGAAGUUUCAAUGGAAAAAGACAGUGUUGCCUAAAGCACCUACAAUGGAAGGAAUUCAAUUGAGCACAGGGUAUGGACCAGCAGUGACGACAAAGUGGAGGAUAUACCCUUCUCCUGAAUGCAUCAUAGCCCCUGUCCUGCCGCUUCUCAAAUUGUGGAGCUGGCCUGUUCCCUUCCCAUGAUUUGUCCAACCUCUGGACGUUCAAGGGAAAUACACUGAGAUUCUUAAGAAUGUAGGGGCAAGUUUUGGUUACAUUUUGCAUAACAAUUCCUUUCUCAAAUUACUUCUCUUCUCUCAAUUUUAAUAUAAACAGCAAGGAGAAAGUAGGCAGCAUCUUCAAGAUUGGCUUACAAAUCUUGCCCGUUAAAUAUCCGUUUUAAUCACUUACAAGUUCGACCUACCACAAAACAUUAGAACAGAAUUCAGCGAGUUUUUUGCCACCCUACAACAAAGACUCCCUUUACUCCCCUAACAUAUUCCUCAUUUCCAUCGGAGACUUCACCAAAAGCACCCUUAUCAUUCAUAUUUCUCCCAACAGUCUCUUCAAGACAAUGAAGGUUUUUUUCCCCUAACGUAUAGCUCAAACUCUUUGAGGUUACCCAGUUCCAAAGCCACUUCCACAUUUUUACAUGAAGCAUGCCACUUCCUGAUAACAAAAUCCAUAUUAGUUAGGGUUCUCCAGAGAAACAGAACAGAAAAUAUACAGAGAAAUACAUAUGAUUAGAAUUUCUAUGUUUAUUUUAGAUUUAUUUCUGGAUUCUCUUCUGUCCAUUAAUCUACCUAUUCAAUCUCUAGUAUCAAACUGCUUCAACUUUCCUAACUUCAUCUAAUUAUUUUUUAAUUUUUAAGCUAUGGCAGGAUUAGAUAUACCCCAUCCCAAAUUUGUUACUGUCCCCUUUAAAAAUUUUUUCAUAUCAAUUCUCAGAUGUUUAGUCUAGAUGAUUCCCAGUAUCAUGUUGUAACACUUCCUUUGAUUCUCCCACAAUAAAAUAAAAAAUAAAGAAAAUAAAAUUCUUAGUGCAAUAUUAAUUGGAAUAAUAUUGAGUAUAAUAUUAAAUCUAGAAAUAAUUCAUAUCAUGAAAAUAUUGUAUCUAAAGGGUUCUCAUUAUGGUCUUGGUGGACUAUCUUAUGCAAGACUAACCUUCCUGGGGAGAAUAGCUAGAAAAAGUGGGCACAGUUUUUUUUUUUUUUUUUUUUUUAAUGUGUGAAGGCAUUAGAGAACUACUACUACUAUCAAGACUUAAGGAGUCAAAAUAUUAUAUAGAAGGAAGCACCAAGAGGUUAACCAAAGUAUUUGACCGCUUUUUUCUCCCAAGGAUGAGAGAUUGAAAAACUGAGUAGAGUCUUUGGCAGUCUUAGUUUUAGUGAUGCAGUGUUAGAGUUCAAAUCUUGCCACGAUGGAACUUUGGUAAACAUUCAAGGAUUUCAUUUGAAACCCCAGAAGACUAGGUUCUAAGAACGAGCCAACCAGAAAGAGAUCAGCCCUAAAAAAAAAAAAAAAAAAAAAAAAAAA